rnacentral:misc_RNA from 1 species
UCCGGUUUGGCACCGGCAGUCUCCCACGAGCUGACGACAGCCAUGCACCACCUGUGUUCCCGUUCCCUUUCGGGCACAGCCGGGUUUCCCCAGCCUCCAGGACAUGUCAAGGGUAGGUAAGGUUUUUCGCGUUGCAUCGAAUUAAUCCACAUAAUCCACCGCUUGUGCGGGUCCCCGUCAAUUCCUUUGAGUUUUAACCUUGCGGCCGUACUCCCCAGGCGGUCGACUUCACGCGUUAGCUUCGUUACUGAGAGUGUCAAACCCCCAACAACCAGUCGACAUCGUUUAGGGCGUGGACUAC